GAUGAACGCUGGCGGCGUGCCUAACACAUGCAAGUCGAGCGAACAGACGAGGAGCUUGCUCCUCUGACGUUUGCGGCGGACGGGUGAGUAACACGUGUAUAACCUCCCUAUUUCACUGGGAUAACUUCGUGACACCGGAGCUAAUACCGUAUAAUAUAUUGAUCCGCAUGGUUCAUUAGUGAAAGACGGUUUUUCUGUCACUUAUAGAUGCAUCCGCGCCGCAUUUGCUAGUUGGUAGGGUAACGGCUUACCAAGGCUACGAUGCGUAGCCGACGUGAGAGGAGGAUCGGCCACACGGGAACUGAGACACGGACCAUGCACCUACGGGAGGCAGCAGUGGGGAAUGGUCAACAAUGGGGGAAAGCCUGACAGAGCAACGACGAGUGUGUGAUGAAAGUCUGAGGUUCGUAAAACUCUGUUGUUGGGGAAGAACAAAUAUGUAAGAAGAGAUGGACGUAUUGACGGUACCGAAUCAAAAAGCAACGGCUAACUACGUG
rnacentral:rRNA from 1 species